AUUGAACGCUGGCGGCAUGCCUUACACAUGCAAGUCGAACGGCAGCACGGGUGCUUGCACCUGGUGGCGAGUGGCGAACGGGUGAGUAAUACAUCGGAACAUGUCCUGUAGUGGGGGAUAGCCCGGCGAAAGCCGGAUUAAUACCGCAUACGAUCUACGGAUGAAAGCGGGGGACCUUCGGGCCUCGCGCUAUAGGGUUGGCCGAUGGCUGAUUAGCUAGUUGGUGGGGUAAAGGCCUACCAAGGCGACGAUCAGUAGCUGGUCUGAGAGGACGACCAGCCACACUGGGACUGAGACACGGCCCAGACUCCUACGGGAGGCAGCAGUGGGGAAUUUUGGACAAUGGGCGAAAGCCAGAUCCAGCAAUGCCGCGUGUGUGAAGAAGGCCUUCGGGUUGUAAAGCACUUUUGUCCGGAAAGAAAUCCUUGGCUCUAAUACAGUCGGGGGAUGACGGUACCGGAAGAAUAAGCACCGGCUAACUACGUG
rnacentral:rRNA from 1 species